GAUGAACGCUGGCGGCGUGCCUAAUACAUGCAAGUCGAGCGAACAGACGAGGAGCUUGCUCCUCUGAAAUUAGCGGCGGACGGGUGAGUAACACGUGGAUAACCUACCUAAAAGACUGGGAUAACUUCGGGAAACCGGAGCUCAGACCGGAUAAUAGAUUGAACCGUAUGGUUCAAUAGUGAAAGACGGUCUUGAUGUCACGUACAGAUGGAACAGCGCCGCAUUAGCUAGUUGGUAAGGUAAAGGCUUACCAAGGCAACGAUCCGUAGCGCACCCGAGAGCGUCAACGGCCAGACUGUAACUGGGACACGGACCAGACCCCGACGGGAAGCAACCGUCGAGAAUCCUCCGCAAUGGGCUAGAGCUUGACGCAGCAACACCGCGUGAGUCAUGAAGGUCUUCGGAUCGUAAAACUCUGUUAUUAGUGGAAAACAAAAGUCCAGGUAACUCUGCACGUCUUGACGGUACCUAGGCAGAAAGCCACGGCUAACUACGUG
rnacentral:rRNA from 1 species